GUUGAAUGUAAGGUCAACGAAGUAAAUGGGAUAAAUUCACGACAGGAACGAGCGUGAAGCUAAACUCGUGGUAACGUCCAGUUGUACACUGUCGUCUGAAGAACGCCCACAGUGACUAUAUUACAAUAAUAUCCAUGAAUACAAAUAGACUUACGCAUUCUGACUUGUGUUCCUAUUGUAAACUUGUAUUGCAAAGUCCAAUACCGACCCCCAAUAUGUCGGUGGAUCUCAUUUUUAUAACAAGCAAGCACUGUGCAACGAUAUCGCUUAUAGAACGCUGCAAAGGCACUGCGUGUGACGAGCACCUGCAUUGGAUAAAUUUGUUCGAUGGUGUGCUAUUAGUCCAUUCCCUUUCGACUCGGUCUAGUCAAUUUACAUGAGACAAACUACUGGGGCAAAUUAUGAUUUUCAACGUACGUUGAAUUUCGACGCAUUUGGCAUGUUUGACGAUCCACGUCAUCUGCGACAGAUCGGGUCACCACUUCAAUUCAUCUUGCACAGAGUAGCCAACCGAUAGUCCAGCCGGCAGUAUCCGCGCGUGUUGUUGUGCGUCUGCCGGUAGGUGAGCAGUUCGUUUAGAGCUCGUUUCCACGCACAGGAUUGGCCGUUGCUACGUUUCUUUGACGUUUGUAGAUGCGACAUGGGUAAGCCGGCGUUACCCCAAAGGAAGAUGUUGAAACCUUCUUUUGGUCACACUCUCAAAAAUGGAGUUGAGCGUUUCUUUCACAAGACCAAGGGCAUAUUUGCACUGAAUGACUCAAAGCAACGAAGCAAAAGAAACAAGAACAUGCCCAAAGGACCUUGUCGGACAAAGGCAGAUAAAACGUUUAAAAUUCGGGCACGAUCAUCGACGAGAAGUUGCUGGGAUUACAUGACUUCACCGACGGAUUUUAUAAAGGAUAUGCGUGUUUCGGAUGACGCCUAAUACACUGGGAAUCGGACGUUCAGCUCUAAAUCAAAUAACGGGUUGGCGUAUGCUUUCAUUCGCACCUCCGAGCCCUCCCCAUGGUACACCGAAACGACAAUUUUGGAGCCCUGCCAGAAUUAGUAUCCCAGACGAUUUCCGUGACGCAGUAUAUGCAUACAUACAUAUAUUGAUACCUCAAAAUAUGGAAAUAGAGGCCAAGUGUUUCGAAUUUGUUUUUUACAUUCAUUCAUCCAUCUAUCUGAUUUUAAUGCAUACUACGUUUGUAUUGAUUUGUUUGUACAUUUCUGUAUAUAACUGACAACCCGUCCACGAAACUUUUAUGAAAACAGAGAAUAUACGUCUUCAUGGAUAGUUGUCUCCGUUAUCGCAAUAAACAACACGAAAAAGUUGUAUGAUUUAUUGUUGUAUCAAUCCACUUAAAUCGAGA
rnacentral:lncRNA from 1 species